rnacentral:misc_RNA from 1 species
GUAGGUGAACCUGCGGAAGGAUCAUUAGUGAUAUAGAAAAUCUAUUUUCUAGUCUCUAUAUACACCCUUUGUCAACUCAUACCUUUGUUGCUUCCACUGGACAGAUGGAUACGCCUAGUGCGAGUCCAUCCUCUGGCCUCUUCACCGAGGACGGGGAGUGCCAGUGGAAAGAAUACAAUUAAAACUUUGUCUUUAGAAAACUUGUCUGACAAUUAUAUUUUUUAAUAAAAUAAAACUUUCAACAACGGAUCUCUAGGCUCUU